CAGGGCUCCCUAAACGGCCCCCUAAAUAUGUGCAAGCUGGGCCUUCCUCGCCGGAUGUGAAAACGCCCACCUCCUGAGCUUCCAGUAACUGAAAAAUAAAACAGAAGGGGCCAAACCCUGGCUGCCCUUUCGUGCGCAGUCUGGCCGGGGUCCGGCUCGGUCUCGGGAAGCGCCCCGGGUGGACCCCGCCCGCUCGGCCCGCCCUCCCGGCCGCCGCUAACACCCGGAAGAGCGGAUUCGCGUCGUGCUGGAAGCCGGGGCGGCUCAGGCCGCGGACUGGGCAUGCUCGGCAUGGGAGGCUAGCGGUGGCAAGUCGGAAGCGUUCGCACCAGCGGGGCAGCGGCCCGUGCAGCGGCAGCGGGCCGGACGGGAGCAGAAGGGCCGGCCACGGAAGGCUGCUCUCCCCUUGCGCCCGGCGAGCCGGCCAGAGAGCGCGAUCCGGGUGCGGAGCCCCGACGCUGCCCUGCCCUGGAUUUCAUUCCGUGGCGGGGGGCUCGGCGAGUGGAAUUCCGGCGGCUGCCGCGACUCCGAGGGUGAGGGCAGCAUGAACGAUCCCUGAAUGUUCCUUUGGGUAUAUUUAGCCGCUCGUUUUUGAUUAGGAGAGAGAAGACGGCCAUCCACUGGAAAGGCAAAGCUUCAGUGACUGAAGGAGUUGUGGAUUUUCUGAAUUUCAAGGACAGCAAAGUAGGAGCCUAGCAGAGGGUGUAUAAAAGACGACACGCAGAAAUCAAAUUUUGUUUGCAUUGCUAUGGAUAAGAAUUAUUUGGAACUACUGCCAGUUUUACAGAGUUGUGAAAUAGACAGUCAGUCAAAGAUUGGAAGGAAGAUCAAUGAAGAAAAAUAACAACAUGAUUCCGGUACACCAUUGAGUUCUUUGGGAUGCACAAAAGUGUCUGGUUGGGAAACAUGAAAUAGAAGACAAGACCGCCUCAGGAAGUGUACAUGAGAAUAACUUUAAAGGAACCUAUCGAUUAAUGCAAAACAAUAGCU
rnacentral:lncRNA from 1 species